rnacentral:misc_RNA from 1 species
GUUCUCACUCCUAUUUAUUCAUCCCCAUUUCCCUUUCACUUCCUGUGUAUCUACAAAAUUCACAUGGUUCACUUCUAACACCUGCUCCCCUUUUUUCUCAGAUCUGUUCUUGGAGCUGCUAAAAGGUGGAUAGAGGAAAUUUGUGAAGGACUGAUAGAAGUUACCGGAAAAAAUGGCAUUAGGAAAGUACUCUAGAGUAGAUGGAAGGAAGUCAUCAAACUAUUGCUCCACUGUAACUAUAGUGGUAUUUGUAGCUCUAUGUUUAGUUGGGGUAUGGAUGAUGACGUCAUCAUCUGUCGUUCCAGACCAAAAUCUAGAUUUGUCCUCACAGGGGAAAAAGACUGACCUGUCAACACAGGUAACCGAAGGUAAAGAGAGUUACAAUGGUGGCAAUGAGAGUAACAAUAAAGCUGGUGAUGAGAGUAAUCCAACGGAUGAGGGAAAAUCAAAACAAUUUGAGGAUACCCUCGGUGAUUUACCUGAGGAUGCAACAAAAGGGGAUGCCUUAGUUAGUCAAGAAGAAAAUGUUUCUAAUCCACAACAGACAGAAUCAACUUCAGAAGUGAAACAGGAAGAGAAAUCGACAGAACAGAAAGAGGAUGCUGGAGAAUCUGAGUCAGAAACUCAAUCCGAGAAGGCAACAGAUGGUUCAGAUGACAAAAAGGAAGAUGGUCCAAACAAAGUAGAUGACAAGGAUUCUGAGGCUGGGGAGAAAACUGAAAAUAAAUCUGUCGGAGAAGAGAUCAAAGAAGGUUCUGAUGAGAAAAAAUCAAUAGAAAACUCAGUUGAACUGAAUGAUAAAAAGGAUCAGGAGGUAGGCCAAAGUUCUGAUGAGAAGUCUGAUGGUGAGAAGAAGGACCUGUCUUCAAGUGCCGUAUUGAGUUCGGGGACUCAGUCGGACCUUUUGAAUGAAACUACAACUCAAAAUGGGGCAUUUUUAACUCAGGCGUCGGAAUCAAAGAAUGAAAAGGAAAUGCAGAAGUCUUCGGAGUCAGAUAAAGAAAGUAGUUACAUUUGGAAACUCUGCAAUUCCACUGCUGGGCCAGAUUAUAUCCCUUGCCUUGAUAAUUUGGAAGCAAUUAGGAACCUCAGAAGUACAAAACAUUAUGAACACCGAGAGAGACACUGCCCAGAUAAUCCUCCGACUUGUCUUGUUCCACUUCCUGAA